rnacentral:rRNA from 1 species
UACGUAGGGGGCAAGCGUUGUCCGGAUUUAUUGGGCGUAAAGAGCGUGUAGGCGGCUUGGUAGGUCCGCUGUGAAAACUCGAGGCUCAACCUCGAGAUGUCGGCGGAAACCACUUGGCUAGAGUCCGGAAGGGGAGAGUGGAAUUCCUGGUGUAGCGGUGAAAUGCGCAGAUAUCAGGAAGAACACCUAUGGCGAAGGCAGCUAUCUGGAACGGUACUGACGCUGAGACGCGAAAGCGUGGGGAGCGAACAGG